AAGUCGUAACAAGGUUUCCGUAGGUGAACCUGCGGAAGGAUCAUUAAAGAAUACCAGGCUCUCGAGCCCUAUUCUCACCCCGUGUCUACCUACUUUGUUGCUUCGGCGGCGCCAGCUCCGGCUGGGCUAAGUCCGUCGAGGGCCCAACUCUCGAAUCUCUGCUGUCUGAGUACUAGCUAAUAGUCAAAAA
rnacentral:misc_RNA from 1 species